GAUGAACGCUGGCGGCGUGCCUAAUACAUGCAAGUCGAGCGAACGGACGAGAAGCUUGCUUCUCUGAUGUUAGCGGCGGACGGGUGAGUAACACGUGGAUAACCUACCUAUAAGACUGGGAUAACUUCGGGAAACCGGAGCUAAUACCGGAUAAUAUUUUGAACCGCAUGGUUCAAAAGUGAAAGACGGUCUUGCUGUCACUUAUAGAUGGAUCCGCGCUGCAUUAGCUAGUUGGUAAGGUAACGGCUUACCAAGGCAACGAUGCAUAGCCGACCUGAGAGGGUGAUCGGCCACACUGGAACUGAGACACGGUCCAGACUCCUACGGGAGGCAGCAGUAGGGAAUCUUCCGCAAUGGGCGAAAGCCUGACGGAGCAACGCCGCGUGAGUGAUGAAGGUCUUCGGAGCGUAAAACUCUGUUAUUGGGGAAGAACAGAUGUGUAAGGAACUGUGCACAUCGUGACGGUACCUAAUCAGAAAGCCACGGCUAACUACGUG
rnacentral:rRNA from 1 species